rnacentral:rRNA from 1 species
UAAGCAUAUCAAUAAGCGGAGGAAAAGAAACCAACAGGGAUUCCCCUAGUAACGGCGAGUGAAGCGGGAACAGCUCAAAUUUGAAAUCUGGCCCUCGGGUCCGAGUUGUAAUUUGUAGAGGAUGCUUUUGGUGCGGUGCCUUCCGAGUUCCCUGGAACGGGACGCCUUAGAGGGUGAGAGCCCCGUACGGUUGGACGCCUAGCCUCUGUAAAGCUCCUUCGACGAGUCGAGUAGUUUGGGAAUGCUGCUCUAAAUGGGAGGUAUAUUUCUUCUAAAGCUAAAUACUGGCCAGAGACCGAUAGCGCACAAGUAGAGUGAUCGAAAGAUGAAAAGCACUUUGAAAAGAGGGUUAAAUAGCACGUGAAAUUGUUGAAAGGGAAGCGUUUAUCACCAGACUUUUUCUGGGGGGAUCAUCCGGUGUUCUCACCGGUGCACUUCCCCCAGUGGAGGCCAGCAUCGGUUUUCGGAGGGGGAUAAAAGCUUCGGGAAUGUGACUCCCUCGGGAGUGUUAUAGCCCGCUGCAUAAUACCCUUCUGGGGACCGAGGUUCGCGCAUCUGCAAGGAUGCUGGCAUAAUGGUGAUCAACGACCCGUCUUGAAACACGGACCAAGGAGUCGAACAUUUAUGCGAGUGUUUGGGUGUCAAACCCUCACGCGUAAUGAAAGUGAACGGAGGUGAGAGCCCUUACGGGUGCAUCAUCGACCGAUCCUGAUGUCUUCGGAUGGAUUUGAGUAAGAGCAUAACUGUUCGGACCCGAAAGAUGGUGAACUAUGCGUGGAUAGGGUGAAGCCAGGAGAAAUCCUGGUGGAGGCUCGCAGCGGUUCUGACGUGCAAAUCGAUCGUCAAAUCUGCGCAUGGGGGCGAAAGACUAAUCGAACCAUCUAGUAGCUGGUUACC